GGUCGGGAGCGCUGCCUUUGUAGUGCGUUGAACAUUUGUGUCACCUGGCUC
rnacentral:ncRNA from 1 species